AUGCACCCGGACGAUGUCGCGAAGACGACGUUUCGGACUCAUCACGACCACUUCGAGUUCUUGGUGAUGCCUUUUGGUCUCUCCAACGCCCCGGCGACCUUUCAGGCCUUGAUGAACGAUGUUCUCCGCCACUACUUGUGCUGGUUUGUGCUCGUUUUCUUUGAUGACAUUCUUAUCUAUAGUGCCUCAUGGGCGGAGCACCUUCAGCACGUCGCCAUCGUCUUCAACGAGUUUCGAGCGCACCAUCUUCACCUCAAGCGUUCGAAGUGCUCGUUCGGCACGCCUUCGGUCGCCUACCUCGGCCACGUCAUCUCGGCCGAGGGUGUCGCUAUGGAUGCUGAAAAGGUGGAAGUUGUCGCGGCCUGGCCGAUGACGCACUCGUCGCGGGCCCUAUGA
rnacentral:rRNA from 1 species